rfam:Capsicum annuum cultivar Zunla-1 unplaced genomic scaffold scaffold65439, whole genome shotgun sequence
AUACUCACCUGGACGGGGUCAAUAGGUGAUCAAUAAGGCCUAUUGCUUGGGUUGGCGACCUCCAUUGCACUUUGGAGGGGCUGCCGACCUAAGAUCGAUCCAAGUGGACGAUCUAUGUCAUAAUUUUUGGCAACGGGGGCCUGCAUUCUCAAGGCUCCUA